CUAUUACAGAAAUCAGAAUAAACGUGGAAUCUGAACGAUUCUGUUUAGAGGAGGGUGGAAAGCCAAUCAUAUAUCGACACGUGGGCAUUUUAAGUUGUUGGGACAUCGAGAAAAUAUCUAGUGGUUGAGGCUCUCACUUCGGAAGAUAUUUUUCUUGCAUUCGAAUGGAGUCCACUGUGUCUGAUUCCACGUGGCCGAAUCACGUGCCA
rnacentral:lncRNA from 1 species